GUUCUGUUGGUUUUUGGAAUACAGGAUAAUGAUUAAGAGGGACAGACGGGGGCAUUCGUAUUGCGGCGCUAGAGGUGAAAUUCUUGGACCGUCGCAAGACGAACUACUGCGAAAGCAUUUGCCAAGAAUGUUUUCAUUGAUCAAGAACGAAAGUUAGAGGUUCGAAGGCGAUCAGAUACCGCCCUAGUUCUAACCAUAAACGAUGCCAACCAGCGAUCCGCCUGAGUUACUCAAAUGACUCGGCGGGCAGCUUCCGGGAAACCAAAGUAUUUGGGUUCCGGGGGAAGUAUGGUUGCAAAGCUGAAACUUAAAGGAAUUGACGGAAGGGCACCACCAGGAGUGGAGCCUGCGGCUUAAUUUGACUCAACACGGGAAAACUUACCCGGCCCGGACACUGGGAGGAUUGACAGAUUGAGAGCUCUUUCUUGAUUCGGUGGAUGGUGGUGCAUGGCCGUUCUUAGUUGGUGGAGCGAUUUGUCUGGUUAAUUCCGAUAACGAACGAGACUCUAGCCUAUUAAAUAGGUGCGUGGUUCUCUGCACCUUGCACCCUUCUUAGAGGGACAAGCGGCUCCUAGCCGCACGAAACAGAGCAAUAACAGGUCUGUGAUGCCCUUAGAUGUCCGGGGCCGCACGCGCGCUACACUGAAGGAAGCAGCGUGUUUUUAUCCCUGUCUGUAAAGACUGGGUAACCCGUGGAACCUCCUUCGUGAUUGGGAUAGGGGCUUGCAAUUGUUCCCCUUGAACGAGGAAUUCCCAGUAAGCGCGAGUCAUAAGCUCGCGUUGAUUACGUCCCUGCCCUUUGUACACACCGCCCGUCGCUACUACCGAUUGAAUGAUUUAGUGAGGUCUUCGGACCGAUACCCGGAGCGGCCUUUCGGUUGCGCCGGUGUGUUGGAAAGAUGACCAAACUUGAUCAUUUAGAGGAAGUAAAAGUCGUAACAAGGUUUCCGUAGUGAACCUGCGGAAG
rnacentral:rRNA from 1 species